AGAGCGCGCACAGACACCACUCGCUCUGAGGAACACGCGGCUGCAAGUGUGAUUCUCCGAAUUAAAUGUUUAACGUGAAAUCCACGCCACUGUUACGCAACCUGACGUCCACGGUUCCACAGCAUCCGAUCUGAUCUCAUUACGCAUAAAAAAAAAAACAACUUAAUGACACCAAAAGAAAUUUUCAGGAGCACGAAGUCAAGGACAGUCACCACGUGACAGAGAAAUAAAUGACGGUUUUUCAUUACAUAAGGACAGCAGCAGUGAACCGGAAGUGACCGCAGGCUUAGGGGCUUGUGGAACGCGUAAUCCAGCUGCUGGACGGGCAGCGGAGCGACCUGCGGUCCGUCCGGAGAGCACAAUCAUCGCAUUCUCAAUGAUCUGGGCCCAAGACAGCAGCUUCCAUCCAGCAGAGACUGAUAAAACGCCCAGAACGUGUUCCUGCAUCACCUGAACUAAGAACCAGCUCUGGUGACUGUCUCCUUAUGGCCUGUACUACACAACCGUACCGUGUUGCUGUUGCUCAAUGCUGUACCUGCACCCGACACCAGAGGGCGCUGUGGUUCACGUAGCCUCUCCAACCCCACGACCACACCACCUGCACUGCAGCAAAAAGCACUGCAGGUGUGACCUGAAAUGAGCAACAAACAUCAGUGUUUCCCAUAAGAAACGUAGUUAUGACACCGAGCAUUUGGACCAUUUGUUGGAAUGAACAUCUGUCAACCUCUGAGCACUGAUUGGGGAUUUCUGAGGCCACUCAUUCAGGGAAGUGACAGUAUUCCUGGAUCAUUCCUGGCCUCCCACGCUACCACCUACCAGCUUCAAGCCUUUCAGCUGCUGUGGCCGCACCAUGAAAUAUUGCUUCAUGUGCGCGUGAGACGCUACUGUACGUCUUCAAUGGACGUCCCGGAUGAUAUGACCAUAACAGACGCAGGUCAUGAAUCAAAGGUCCUGAACCACCCGCGUGGAUGAUUCAUCCAGCAGGUGCUCCGCUCGCCGCCUGUUCUACCUGCUGCAGGUCUGCGCCGGGCGCCUCGAGUGAACCGCGCCGGUGAACGCGGUGAACCCGUCCCGUCGACAAAACCCCAGAAGAAGAGAAAAAAAAAAUAUAAGCCAACCCUCUGCGCCGCAUAUCAAAGCAUAACUCCUGCAGCCGAUCGCUCGGCCCAGCUCAAAUUAGACAAACAUAAAAGUGCCUGAAAAAUAAGGAUCACACAUGUUUUGAAUAUGCUGAAUUUUAAUUGAUAAUAAAUUGUGCCUUUGUAGACCCCA